rnacentral:rRNA from 1 species
UACGUAGGGAGCAAGCGUUGUCCGGAAUCAUUGGGCGUAAAGCGCGCGUAGGCUGCCCUGUAAGUCCGUUGUGAAAGUCAAAGGCUCAACCUUUGAAAGCCGAUGGAUACUGCAGGGCUAGAGUCCGGAAGAGGCGAGUGGAAUUCCUGGUGUAGCGGUGGAAUGCGCAGAUAUCAGGAGGAACACCAAUAGCGAAGGCAGCUCGCUGGGACGGUACUGACGCUAAGGCGCGAAAGCGUGGGGAGCGAACAGG